rnacentral:rRNA from 1 species
CCUACGGGUGGCAGCAGUGAGGAAUAUUGGUCAAUGGGCGGAAGCCUGAACCAGCCAAGUAGCGUGCGGGAUGACGGCCCUACGGGUUGUAAACCGCUUUUGCACGGGGGUAACACGCCGCACGUGUGGGGUUUUGCAGGUACCCUGCGAAUAAGGGUCGGCUAACUCCGUGCCAGCAGCCGCGGUAAUACGGAGGACCCGAGCGUUAUCCGGAUUUAUUGGGGUUAAAGGGUGCGUAGGCGGGCGUUUAAGUCAGCGGUAAAAUUGCGGGGCUCAACCUCGCCGAGCAGUUGAAACUGGGUGCCUUGAGUGGGCGAGAGGUAGGCGGAAUGCGUGGUGUAGCGGUGAAAUGCAUAGAUAUCACGAAGAACCCCGAUUGCGAAGGCAGCGUACCGGGGCGCGACUGACGCUGAGGCUCGAAGGCGCGGGUAUCGAACAGGAUUAGAUACCCGUGUAGUC